CUCCUAGAGUUAAGUCUUUUGUUUUGUGGGGUUUUUUUUCCUUCUACUCUUAGUUUCAUUCCUUUCCUUGUAGCUGACAAUGGGAAAUAAAUCAAAUCCAUCACUUUCUGCUCACAGUUUCCCAGGGAGGAGGAGAGGAGGAACACCUCAGCCCCCUGACUUCCCAGACUUGCUCACUGAUCUUGAAAGUGAUGCACUCCCGUGCUUAUGGCACACACACACACAACCCAGCACUACUACACACUUCCCAGGGUCUGGAUAUUGCCAUCCAUCACAGCAGCUCUGGUUCCAGUUCUUGCUAACGUCUGAAUUUCCUGCUGGCUCAGUGAACGGCUUUCAGCUUGUGGUACAUUAUAUAGCUACUGGGUGAAUGGGACUGAGCAUUCCCGUUUGGCUCCGAGCGCUGUGUUCACCUGAGCUUGCUGGCAGGAUGAAUAGUUCGCUGCAGUUCUAGUGCUAACCCCCUUUGUGAACUAGCAGUGAGCCAUGUACCUUAUUACAAAGGCCGACAGCUCCCUGGAAACUUAAAUCCACUCUUUCUCCUCUCCCUACCAUAGGGAGCUAUAAAAUAAAAGGUCUUGGUUGGUAGGCAUGUAAUAUAACAAAAAAACCUCUGUUGUGGCAGGAUCCAGACUCCCCGGUAACAAUAAGGAUUAUGCUCUCACAUCGAAAAUGCAGUUGCUAGUUUUAACUGUGGUACUUUAUUAUGGAUUCCUACAGUGUACAUUUAUGUCAGAGGCUUGGAUGUUUAACUUGAGUCAAGUAUGAGCAGAAAAGAGAGCUCAGCGUCUUAUUUUCAAUAUGGAGGGAAAAGAUGCAACUUGUUACACUGCUUUGAUGCAACCUUCCUCCAUACCACUUCUCAGAGAGCUUUAAAUAGCCCGACACUGGCACUGGGUAGGCGCUGGCAGAAGAAUGGAUUUUUUUCAUCUGAUGGCUCGCCAAGGUUGUUUUCAAGAAGGAGAAGUAGAAGAAGAAGGGGAAAAAAAGAAAAACUUUUACAUGCCAGUCAUUCAUUGCCUGCCAGUUCCCAUGGUUCUCCUAUGGAUGGUAGCCACGUAACUAUUGAAAGUACAGUAAACACUGAGGAAAGUGAAAAGAAACUUGUGAAGAAGAGAACAGCGAAGGGAAAGAAGCUGGAUGUGGAGUACUGGUAGUAGGAGUCACACGGGGAUCCUUUUAGGAAGUACCAUGGAUGCUGACCUCAUUUCCUGCGGCAUUUUUUCCUGCGGCAGCUCCUUGGCUCUACUCAAUGAGGGACCCAGUGCAUGAUGCAGCAUCCUGGGAGAAGGGUCUCCUGCAAACCUGGUUCUGUCCAGUGAAGCAUCCCAUGUGCCAAAUAAUCCCCAGGUCCCGAAGUAUGAAACCAUCAGAGAUUUGUGACAUUCCUGGUUUUGGAGUGAAGUGGUAGAAGAGCAUAUGGAAAACACCAACCAGGCACCAGUCUGUUGGAAGGAUAUCCCAAAUGGCUUUGGGUACCUGGUUUGUGAGCAACCACUGUGCUGAUGCAGAGUCACAGUAUGGUUGGGUUGGAAGGGACCUCAAGGAUCAUGAAGUUCCAACCCCCCACCACAGGCAGGGCCACCAACCUCCACA